CAGAGCAUAGCUAAACCAUAGCUUUUCCCUUACACUGAAAAAUUGCUUGUGCAAAUCAAGCUGCCCUGA
rnacentral:tRNA from 1 species